GACGUUUCUUUGUUGGAAAUUGUUAGUAAAACUCAUGUGAGGCGACAUGGAUAUCGUAAGAUUUUGUUCAUUAUCAUGCAAUGAGGAUGACCUGCUUUGCACACGUGCUUCUCCUUCUCCCUUGCCGCUACUGUCCAGUGGGUUUGGGUAACAUCUGAGUUCCCUUAACAAAUUGAAUGCAAACGAUGGUUCAUUCAAGCUCUCAGGAUACAUCUCAGGUCCUGAUGUUUACACAGUGAAGAUAUCAAUCCAAGAUUUGUUUUCAAAGGACCAAUACAUAAAUUACUUAAAUAACACAGCGAUGAGUUUUGACAGUCUUCUGACAUUGAGCUACGAAUUAGAUCUCAGAUAUAUCCACUUCUUUUGUUGAACCUAAGCUGCCCAAGAUCUUUAUAUGAUUCGACUUUCGU